UACGUAGGGUGCGAGCGUUAAUCGGAAUUACUGGGCGUAAAGCGUGCGCAGGCGGUUUUGUAAGCCAGAUGGGAAAUCCCCGGGCUCAACCUGGGAAUGGCAUUUGGGACUGCAAGGCUGGAGUGCGGCAGAGGAGACUGGAAUUCCUGGUGUAGCAGUGAAAUGCGUAGAUAUCAGGAGGAACACCGGUGGCGAAGGCGGCUUCCUGGACCGACACUGACGCUGAGGCGCGAAAGCUAGGGGAGCAAACGGG
rnacentral:rRNA from 1 species